UGCAGAUGAUGUAAAGAAUAUUUGCUAUCUGAGUUUCUCUCUGAUGACAAGCUUUCCACCAAGAUCGCUGAUGCA